CUUUAUUAUUUUGAAGUAUAUUCCUUGUAUACCCAGUAUUUUGAGAGUUUUUAUUAUGAAGGGAUGUUGAAUUUUAGUGAAUGCUUUAUUCAGCAUCUGUUGAAAUGAUUAUAUGGUUUUUGUUCUUGAUUCUGUUAAUGUGAUAUAUCGUGUUUAUUGAUUUGUGUUAUGUUAAACCAUCCUUGCAUCCCUAGGAUGGAUCUUACUUGAUCAUGUGAGAUCUUUCUAAUGUGUUGUUAAAUUUAGUUUGCUUGUGUUUUCCAUGAAGAUUCCUAGACCGGGGGAGAUCGAACAUUCACCUCCAGUUCCCUCCUUCACCAGCAACCGUGGUGAAAAUCUCUGUGAGUAGCACUAUGCCAGCUUAGGGGAAGGGGUGGCACAGUGUGAAAUGACUGUUUAUCUUACGUGUCAUGGCUUUUCUCAAUUCUGUGUGCCUAGGUGAUUUCUCUGCUUCUCCCUGAGUUCUGGUAUAUUCAGGGUGGUAUUCUUGUCUCUGAUGGUUUCUAAUUGUAUUUUUGUCAGGGGCGUGAUGCUGGGGAUUGUCUGUUCCACCAUCUUGCUAACUUCACUCUAAAACUCUAUUUUUGAAUAAUCUUAUAUCUAUAGAAAAGUAGCAGAAAUAAUGCAGAGUUCUUUUAUUUUUCACUCAGUAUCCCCAAAUGUUAACAUCUUAUAGCACCAUAGUAUAGUUAUCAAAACCAAGGAACCAAUAUUGGGAAAUUACUAUUCACUAAACUUCAUACUUUGUUUUGGAUUUUACCAGUUUUUCCACUGAGGUCUGUCCCAAGGUCUGAUCGAGGAUCGCACAGUGCAUAUAUUUCAACAGGCUUUUAGUAAAUAUUGGGAUUCAAGGCUUUGCCUCGGACUAGAUAUGAGAGUGCAAAUCAUCUCUGUCCCUCUACCUCCCUAGGUAGUCAUGCUGUACAAUCUUGGGACACAGGGUAAAGUGAAGGCCUCUCCAGGCAGGCAGGUGCCUUUGUGAAGUAUUGAUAGGAACCAUUCUUGGGCUCUACUAACAGCCUUCUGUUGGGGAACAGGAUAUCACAAUGCUGACAGGAGUUGGUGAUAAGGAAGAGGAAAAAGAGAGCAGGUUCUUGUGUUCUUCAGAAAAGGUGAAUGUUAUCCUGUUGAUUUUGGACCAAGGGAGUUCUCCAGUGGGAAGUGACACAGAACCUACCACAGUGCCUUUCUAAUCCAGGUUUUUGGUAAUGAGUGAUGAAUGCAUCCUAUGAGAGCAGAGCCCUGUGGAGUGGGUGGCAAAUGUUGCUCUCCGACUACAGUUCUCUGCAUAGGAUGAUAACACAGACUGCUUCAGAUGCAGGCAGGGGCUGCUUGUCCACACUGAUCAGGCAUUGAUUUGCAUUAACAUCUGUAGUGCCUUUUACCUGUGCAGUGAGAUACUAGGAUAUGCAAUAGAAUAGGUGCUGGAAGAGGCAUCCACUAUGGGCAGACUCUUUGGAUCUGUAAAGCAGCCUCUCCCAUGGACUAGCCAGUGUGUACUCCUUAUGUGUAGCACCAAGAAAAUCCAGAUGUCAUUUUUUUUUUUUUUUUUUUUUUUUUUUCCCCUCCAGAGUGGCUGGAUACUUGGCAGGGUGCACAAUCACAUGGUCUUCAGAUCUUCUAAAAGCUGAUUUUCCUGGGCCUAAUCCCAUGAGAGCUGGAGACAGUCUAUGAUAAUUACUGAUUCAGCUCCCACUGGUGUUGAACUUACUGAGAAACUAAGAAUUAAAAUACACACCCACACACCCUCAGAUGGAGCCAAACACUAAACCAGAUUAGUCUUUCGUGGUUACCUUUCCUUUAGGAUUAGGAGGAUCAGAAACCAAGAGCAGAUUCUGAAACACUGUAACCCCAUUCCCCACUGGGUCAUAAGAGGCUGGUGCUCUUGAGGAUGAAGGUCAGCAGCAGGUGCCAAAUAGGUGCUGGCUUGUGGUCCCAGCAGGGCUGGCCUGCCACAGCCCAAGCUUGUUUCAGUUAAAAAAAAUGGGUCUCUUGACCUUUCAUGCCCGGGGAUUCUCCGGACCUCAGAUGUUUGUGAACCGGGUUCAAGGACUCUCAAGCAAGUCACUGGCAGAUUGGAGAGAAGACUUGGAGAUUCUAAGUGUCUGAAGCAAUGAGAGGAGGGACACAAAGUCUCAUUCAGUGAGACUGCAAAGUCACCUGAAUGGGAAAACUUGCCCUAUUGCUGGACUCGGCAAUGACACCUUCAGGUUGUUCCCUGUAUGGGUUGAUGACGGAGUGGAGGACUCUGGGUCCCUUCUUAGUGUCAGCCUUGAUGGAAUUUAGUAUGUUGCUUAGGAGCAUGCCAAAAUCAGAGCAACUCCCUUCCCAAGGGAUGUUUAGUUUUCAGUUGUUAAAAAUACACCCUGAGACAGAAAUUUCAGGACACUUAAGUGACUUAGAAACCCAUUCAGAGGUUACUCCAUUCCCUUCACAAAACUCAGGCAUUUCCAUGUUGGUCUCAGCUGCCAUCUCAAUGGCUCAUUCUUUCUGUAUAUCAGAGCAAAUCUGGACCUCCCAAUAUGUUUUGGGGAGAAGUAGGCUUAGAGGGGUUUGCCCUGCUCUGUGAGAGAAGGAGUUUAGCAAGCAUUAAUUUUUCUAAGAAAGUGGCAUAAGUUUUGAUGUGAUUUGCUGGAGAAUAGUAAUAGUCACAAUUUAUCUUAUUCCCCCAAGAGAAUGGGAUGAUGUUCCCAUGGAAUGUUGCUUAUCCUGCUAGCAGUAACUUGUAUUCUCUGAUUUAUACAAACAAGAAAUAGAGGGUGAUGGUGGGGGAAAUGAUACCAGGAAAUAGUUUUUUGCAGGGAUUUAGAAUGUGUCACUGGGCUUCAAGAUAGGAAGAAUCUUUGCCUUGAUGCUGAUGACGGUAACCACCCCACCCACCAUCAUCUAUUAAGGAUUUACUGUGUGGUCACUUUAUAGUCGUCUAAGUAAAUUUCCAUAAUUACCUGAUAAGAUGGGUACCACUUUUCAGAAAAAGAAACUGAGAUUUCUGGAGGGUAAGUAACCCAGAUAGCACAGCUGGGCCACCUGUCUGCCUGUCAAGCAUCAAGACAGCAUUUGGCCUCUGCGGGUGUUGUCACAUGUGCUGGGCUCUGUCAUUAAUUGGUGGAGCUGCUUAUUUCCACAAACACCUAAGAUGCAGUAUGCACCCUCUGUUUCAAGUGAGGUCCUUGGACCAACAGCAUGGCAGCAGCUGGCAGCUUGUCCUUGACGCAGAACGCCAGGCACUCCCUGGAGCUACAGCAUGAGAUCCCCAGGUAGGCGCAUGUGCAUCCAAGUUUUGAACCACACUACUCUUUGCCACUACGGAGGAACAUAUCCUUUACUCUCCCUCCCCUUUGUCUCAUCUUGUCUGGUAAUUUUAAAUUAUUUAAAAGUAAGUUAUAGAAAAUCAUACUGUCUCAAAAUGGCUUACCAAGAAAUAUUCAAAGCUUAGGAUCAGAAGCUUGAAAUGAAGAUUUCUAUGUAUCUUUGAAUUGUUUUACAGAAAUUAAAAAAAAAAAUCCAGACAUCUAAAAGAUGAUGAUUUUCAGAAUUCAUAAUAACAUGGUGUUCUUCAUGGUGUCGGGACCGAGUUCUUGCUGAGGUUUGCACUGGGCUGUGUCCCCCAGGCAGCUGCAACACAGCACAGAGCCACCCUUGCCAUCUAAGCCUUGCCGCUGGAGGGCAAGAGGGAGGACCAAGCUGUCAACAGCCCCAGACCUGCCAAGCCCCAUUAGUCUGUGUGCCUGCCAGGAUUCUAAAACUCCUUUUGGGAAUUUUGACUUUUACUGAAUUGUGAAAUUCUGUGUAUAUAUAGCCUUGGUGAGCUGACCCAGUCAGGGAUGACUCUGAUACAUUUUGUCUUACAAGAUUCAGAAUCCAAGGCUACAGGAGGUAAUAAGGCCAUUGGGAGGGCCUGCCUCUCCUUCUCAGCUCUCCCCACCCCACAAUGUGUGGGUCUCCAUUCUGAGAUUUCCAUUCAGGUAUGUCACAGUUCUGCAAACUAUGAUAGGACUAGAAGUGAACACAUUGUUGCAGGGAUUCGGAGUGCAUCAGGCUUUGUAAAUAGGCUGUGGAACCCGGGGUACCUGGGCUUGUAUUGCUUUCUGGUCCCUCAAAAUGGGGAACAUCACAAUAUUGAAGAAAAUGAGAGUCACUAAAUACAGCUUGCCAUUUCUGCCUGCAUUUUAUUCUUUGGAGCCCAGAGAUACCAAAAUUAUUCAUGGUGAGCUUGUUUUGGCAGAACAGCAUUAAUUUACAUCUGUGUUAGCAGUACUGCAUUUUUGUACUUUGAAGUCAGACAGAUCUGGAUUUGAAUCCUAGUUUUAGCACUAGGACCUUACUCUAAGACUUUUUAAAGUUCAGGCUUAGCAUAUUUUUAAUGCCACUUUUUGUCAUUUAGAGGAGGUAAAGCAGCACAUAGCUUAAGGACACUGCAUGCCUACCCACCAUGGCAGCAUGUGUCCCCAGCUGUCAGGUGGGACAUGGACUUCCUGAUGCCCAUCUCCUGAGACUGUUUGAGGCCUGGCCAAGGACAGCAACAGGUGGUGCAAAGGGCAAGGUGCUCCCUCCACAUAACUGAAAUGUGCCUUUCUCCAGAGCCUCUCAGUUUUCUGGUGGCCUGAUUAGUUUCAGAAUACUAAAUGGCUAAUGUAUUUAUCCAUUAUGGCCUCAUUGACUUUGGAAAUGUACUUAAUUUUUAAAACUUUGCUUUAGUGCCUUCAUUUCUGCACUCCUCCAGCACUUUCUAUGAAUUAUUUUAAAGGCAACUGAGCACAGAGCACAAGCCCAUUUUUCUAGCUACAGCAUGGACAUGCCUGAAGCACACGCCCAGCUUGCAUCACCUUCCAGUCCACUGCCUAGAGAUAGAACAAAAACUUAAUGCUCAGGAGGCUUCUGAGAGGCUCCAGGGAGUCGCUGAAUUCCUUAAAGAAGGGAAAGGUCAGAUCCUGAUCAGGGCGACACUGUCAGUAAUUCUAGAACUUUCACAGGUUAAAAUAUUUUAUGUUUAUACAAAAGAGUCAUGUAUAAAAUGUUUUUUGUUCAGUUUACGUAUUUAAAAAGGACUGUGGUAAUUUCAAAUGCUUUGUGCUUACAUGUCAUGUAAAUAUUGUUAGAAGCCCCUUUUUUUUUUUUUUUUUUUUUUUUUUACAAAAACUGCUUGUGGAGAUUUUCAUGACUGUAUAGGUGUUUUCAGAUGGAGGAUUUGCCAAACCUGUGUUGUGAGGUGCACACAUGAUCUCUGCUUGGGAAAAGUGGCCAGUGCCACCGUGCAGUGCACAGCAUUUGUAUGUGACUCUGGUUUGGUGUGUGCUGUGUUGGUCACCACUUAAAGUAGAGCUAGUGUGCACAAUUUGAAUAUAUAAAAAUUUGAAAAUAUGUUUAGCUAGUCUACUCCUCAGUACGUUUUGACUGUCAAGUGGAAAAAAGUAAAAGGAAAUUAAUGAAGGAAAGGAAAGCAUCAAAAGAUGAAUUCAUCUUUUGACUUUAAACUGGUAGGCAAAUGGAAGAAUUAUCUUAACAGCUGACAACAUCCUAGCUGGUAAU